rnacentral:snRNA from 1 species
UUGCUUCGGCAGCAAAUAUACUAAAAUUGGAACGAUAUAGAGAAGAUUAGCAUGGCCCCUGAGCAAGGAUGACAUGCAAAUUCAUGAAGGGAUGGCUGCAUUU